UACGGGGAGGGACAGCGUUGUGAAUUACUGGGCGUAAAGGGCUCGUAGGCGGCCAACUAAGUCGGAUGUGAAAUCCCCAGGCUUAACCUGGGAACUGCAUCCGAUACUGGAUGGCUUGAAUCCGGGAGAGGGAUGCAGAAUUCCAGGUGUAGCGGUGAAAAUGCGUAGAUAUCUGGAGGAAUACCGGUGGCGAAGGCGGCAUCCUGGACCGGCAUUGACGCUGAUGAGCGAAAAGCUAGGGGAGCAAACGGGG
rnacentral:rRNA from 1 species